rnacentral:lncRNA from 1 species
CACACAAUACACACAGUGAUACGCGGCCGGGAGCCUCGAGAAACGGUGUUUAAAAAAAUAAACUUCUUUACAACACGGAUUUAUUAGGAAUACAUAGAACUCGCAUUAACUAUUUAUAAAUGAAAUUAGAAUUAAAAAAAGACGAGUGUUCCCGAUUGGAAUUUUCUGACGACUGUGGCUGACUGCUGUCUGGCCACGGCGGGCUGUUGUAAACACUUCUGCGAAUGUCAUAGGAUACGGGGCCGCCGAGGCGAGUCUCAUAUAUUUCGAAUACAUAACAAAACGUCGAUACUUUGUAUCAUUUCUACAUUCGGCUGCAUGCCGGUGUUCGGGAUUUGACGUGGUAUUUGAAGACGAAUAUUGAAAUAUGCAAUCGAAUUAGGAUGAUAGAGAUGAUUUCGGGGUUUACAAGCAAAAAAUUACUGUAUAAAUUAAUAAAAAAAAUAAGAGAAAAUGAGGUUAGAGUUGAACAAAUGACAUUUCAGGAUUUUUAUUGAGACCGUCCUUCGUCUCGUCCAAAAUACGGCAUCGUCUAUUCCCAUUAAAUGAUCUGCUAGUUUACUAGCCGCCUGUUACUGUGAAGACACCCGCGUCUGCAAGUAGACAUAAACGCAUCUUUUCCUCUAACUUCAGUCGACGCCGUGAUGUUUAAUUUUCUCCUCGUGACAGGAAACUAUUUUCAUAAAUCCGGUAUUGUGUUAGGUCACAUUUCACUCUGACACCACAGGAGCUAGAUGUAUCGACUGACAUGUAUUGAAAUGUUAUUGUACGCGAAUAAAAUAUUGAAUUAAAUAAAAACAGGCACAGAAGUGUCGAUAAGGGUUCCGCGGCGGAAACGCAUCGAGUGCCGACUGCUGCGCUAUCAGGAGUUACUCACAGCGGUUUCCUGUUAAAAACCUAAUGCUAUAAGUUCUCACAUAGUUAUAAAAUAUAAUUGGAUUAGGUGUUUAUUGCACCACGCCGCGCAGUCCCCGUAAUCUUGAACAGGUCUAUAUUUACUGCUGGUAAGUCUCCCAUAUGUGAGAGUCCGCCUGGGUAGGUACCGACGCAAUGUCUAUUUAUGACGCCAAGCAGCAGUGUGUAGUUGCUAUUGUGUUCCGGUUAGAUGACAUUGUAGCCAGUGUAACUACUGGACAUAAUAACACUUAAUAUGUGAUAUCUUAGGAUGGCUUGCGAAGUGGAAUACCGAACAAUACUUUGUAAUUCAAGGUGUUGGAUGGUGUCUCUUUUGUUUAUGGGCCGUCGUAUCGCUUACGAUGAGGCGAGUGACAAGCUCGUGUCGUCAUUCAAAGCAAUAAAAUAUAUAAUAUAUACACCAUGGACUCAACCAGUGGCGUAGCUAGUUAACCUCGGGGCUAGGUUUCCGUCUACUCUUUCACGGAGUGCAUGUGUGAGGUACUACUGUAUGAAUGUGUGUGGGAUCAAUAUUACAUCUUUUUGUUUGUGUAUGCCGUGCCGCGACACGAGUAGUGAGGACUCAAGUCACCGCGCCUACGAGGUGAAAAAUAGAAGUCGGCGCGAUUCGAUCCAGCUGUACUCGACGACGGGCUCUAUUGGCGUUCGUUGUAUUUAUUUAGUACCGUUGUAGUUGUAGUUGUUAGUAUGUUGUAUAUACUGUAUAACAUUGAAUGUGUCGUUGCGUUGUGUUUGUUCAAGCCGCUUUCAUUGGGAUCGCGCCGCCCGGUUGGAACAUGCCAGCGCAACCGCCCUCGUACGACCAGGCCACGAGCGAGAUGAAGACCGCGCCAUACAACCCUAACUACCCGCACUAGACACCCACCACCGGCGACCAGCAACCAGCAACCAGCGACCGGCCCCGGCAGAAUUGUAGGUGUUGAAGGAAGCGACAUUACAAAGCAAACGCGAGUGUUUGUGUUGAUAAUGUAUGAAAUCGUUACAUUCCACUGCGCAUGCGUGUCGUCGCUGUGUUGCUGCGAGUGUGCUCAUACGAUACGUGCCGAGUUUUGUAAGCGCGACGAGUAUUCUCGGCCAAUACGUUUGGUACAUUCAGCUGCACGAGUAUACUCGUUAAGUAAGUUUUAAGUAAUAUGAAUGUUUUAACUCAAUGUUGUCGCCAUCUAUGUUAAUGUUAGCUAGGUGAUAUAAUAUUGUAUAUAAUUAUAGCCACGUGGGUCUGACCUCGGCACGUCGGGGUCCGGACCCCCGCGUGUCGCAAACUAUACUGUUACGGCAUAAGAUGUCGACUCCAGUUAUAAUUAUUUAUAAGUGUAACGUGUUGAUGUGUUAGUGUUUGGACACGAGCCGCGCGACCUUCCUCUUCCUCCCAGAUUAACAUUCGUAGUCUGCAGCGGCACUCUUAUACGUCUGGCAUAUUUUAAAAAUAUUUUCAUAAAGAAAUCUGUAUACAUCAAUAUCACAACAAUAAUACUGUAUGUUUGUGCUCGGUGCCGGCUCACUCGCGCCGCCCCGCGGCGUCUCUUGCGAGUAUAUGAACAAACCGCACACAGGAUCGUGUCUGAACACUAACGUGUAAGAGAUUAUUUAUUAAGUGUCCGCAUACUUUGUUUACGUGAGAGUUCCGGGAUUCGAUUUUUCGAAACUGGUCCUAAAACAUAUUCUCUCUCAUCGAGCAUUUCAUAUUAAUUUUAGUCACAAAUAAAUAGAAUUGUUGGACUGUUUUGGGCUCGAAAAAAUAAAUAACCUAAAACCAUGAGUUUGGUGCCCGGGGCCUGUCCUAGGUCCGGAGCUGUGCGUGAGUGAAGUGUAUUCCAUAGCUUUGUGUUAAUAACAGAAACAAACAACACUUAUAAAGUCUGAUGUUCUUCGUGUAAUGGUGAGACUGGGCUGAAAGGCUUAUUGACUAACAGCUAUUUCAAUAAACGAUCCCAAUUUCAAUCUUCAAUCCGAUUCCGAGAAUGAGCCAAUCAAAAUAAAUUAUUUGUAAGCGUGUCAAAUGAAACUUUGUUUUUAUUUGUCCAUUUCUGAGACAGAUCGAAAAAAUGGAAUCCUUUAUUUAUGAAAGAGAAAGCGAUUGGGAUCGUUUAUUGAAAAUGGCGGUUAAUGCAUUUGCGACUUUAAGUUUUAUACACAUGUGUUGAGAAUCAGCGCAUUUUUCUGUGAUUUUUGAACCUAAAUUAGAUUAAAUUAAAUUUAUCGGUAAAAUGUCGCUUAAAUCAAGUUGACUUUCAACUGUCGAUACUCGGUAUUUAUAGUAUAUUUAGCAGAGAAUUAUAUUAGAGACAAUAUAGUUUGAAGUGGAAUACCCUCCGCCGUCGCCAGCCUGCGCUCGCCUGCAGGAUAAACACAUUUACUCAAUACUCCGCUCAUAGUUAUGCAAUACAUAUAAUACGGCUUUAACGUUAUAUACAGUCAGCCACAAACGUAGCUGAAAAACUCAAAAUUUCAAAUCGCUUAUCUGCAAGCUGUAUCGAAUGAUAUAUAAAUAUGAUUUUAUAUUUUUGUAUUUAAUUUCUAAAAUUGUAUACCGCCUUCGUCUAAGUAAAUUGUGUAUUAGUAAAGUACGCGUGUAUGGGUCGACGUGGCGGCGCAAUGAUCUGUCCCACGAUGACAAUGUACGAUAUUGCGUCACAAUGAUCGUGAAUAGUCUUCAAGCCGAGAGUAUUUCUAUCGAAUUUAUGUUGUGUCCGAGGUAUCGCCGAGUGUUUGACGCCGAGCAGUACAUUGGUCUCUGCACUACGUCGCUGCUCGGUCCUCUGUGUGUGGGGUUGCCAUUUUAAAAUUCGUUACAAAAAUGACUUAAGAAAAUUCGGAUAUUUUAAUUACAAAAUGAGACAGGGAUGAUUAUUUUACUGAUUUAAUGUUGAUUUAUUUAUAAAUAUUUUUUUUUUGUCAUCAAAAUGCAGAAAUGACAGUAAAUAGAACACCUGAAUAGAUGGUAACCCUAUCAGCUGUCUUGUGGCCCCGAAUUACUAGAUAUGUUGUAUUAUAUUUGGUACUCAGUUUAUUUUUGUUACUAUUAUUUUCGUACGUCUCUCCUAUAUGAGAUGAGUUGGAUAAAGUCUGGCGACGAGCGACGUUCGGUCGCCAGUUGCCGGUCGUUCGUGUGACGUCACACCAAAGUUUCGAAAUGUACAUUAUUUUUACUGAAUUAUUAUAUAACAGAGAAAUAUAAAAUUCCACAGAAUUAA